GGAAUCAUAGCAGAGUAAUGCCGGUACUCCGGCCUUACGGGGAUAACGUUUACACAGUAAAUCCUCUAUAUCGGCCUUACGGGUAUUUGGCAUAGACGACCAAGCCGGUCUACGGGCAAGCCGGUUUUUCGGCCAUACGGGAAGUUCAUCCUUAAACAGCUCGGCAGCAAUGAGGCUUUGAUUGGUCUGAGUGACAGUGACACAGAGGGAAUGUGGAAACGGGUGGACGGUACGACCCUGACCACUACGUAAGUGAUUGAGAUUAAUUAUAUGUAUUAUUAUGUAUAUAUUAAUUAAAUACCGUAUGUUUACUGAUAAAAUAAAAUAUUUUGUCAUUUUCAGCAGGUGGAUUAAGCCAUGAUAACAUAAAACAUAUAUGUAUUUACUGUACACUACUGUACCCUCUGUCAACUUCCCCCAUUUAUUGAAAAUAGGCUGUUCUUUAAAAGAGAGAGAGAGAGAGAGAGAGAGAGAGAGAGAGAGAGAGAGAGGAUGUAUAAGCAUUGAUACUUAAAUGUAAUGUUAUUUAAUAUUAUGGAAGGAGUGUUCAGUGUCAGCACUUUGGAAGAGUGUAAGUUUUCUGCCAUGAGAAAAGUCUUCAGGACAGAGGACUUUCGGUAACACAACUGAACGAGCUGCAUUUUAUCUUCAUAAGGAUGAAAAAAAUAGAUAAAACAAGAUGUGCUGUCUUUGGAAAAUAAUCAUCAUCAGAGUGAAAAUACUCCUCGAUUUCCCAGAAUUAUUAUAAGAGCAAAAAGGCGACUGAAUCUGGAACGCCAUGUUCAAAAAGCACAUUUGUGUGAGUGUGUGGUAAGGUGUGCACAAACUUUUGUCCAUGUAGUGAAUUUUGAGCAGUAAUCAGAUCCAGGUACAGAUAACAUCAUUGAUUAACAGGCGUACAUCCCAUAAUGUGCACAAUAGUGGCAUCCUGUCGAACACUUCCCAGUUUAACCGCACUACACCAGUUAAAAGGUCUCUUUAACACUUGACAUGCAGAAGACUAGCGAAGCUGUGAUUCAGAGUCUUUUAUAGAGCAGAGAUGUCUCAGGCUGUUUCCGAAUAUGUGAACUACGCUAAGGAGAGAGGAGAGCGCAUCGAGAAGGUGUUGGAACUCUAUGAGAGAGGAGAUGCUGUUAGACCUCAAAAGCCCGAAACCGAGACGGAGAAUGCCAACACGAAGACUCAACACGCAGAACUGACCACUGCGGGGGACAGAUGUUACAGACUGGCUGUUUUGUGUGUGCUGCUGCUGUGUCUUCUCCUGCUGAUUGCUACCACAGUGCUGUGGAUCGAAUUCACCAUCCUGACUACAGAAAAAGAUCAGUUACAGUCCACAUACACCGCUCUUAUAAUAGAGCAAGACUGCUUACAGACUAGUUACAAUGAACUGACUGUAGAGAGAAAUCAUUUACGGACACGUUACAUGAGAAUGACUUUUGAGAGAGACCAGUUAGAGGACAGAAACAACAACCUGACGAUAGAAAGAGUGCACAACAGGAUAGAAUUGCAAACCUGAAGGUUGGCAUGAACCAGCUACAGGAGUUUAGAACUUAGAGAACUUAGCUCUUAUCCCUGUUAGCCUAGAAGUUCUCAUAGCAUGUCAAAUUAAAGAUUUACUCUAUGUGUAUUUAUUCCUGUGCUUGUUGUAAUAUAUUGUUGCUAUAGUAACAGCUAAUACACAGGGACUUGCAUGGCAGACGCUGCGUGUUGUCUCGAAUUCCCCCUCUCAGUGAGUCUUGCGUUUGGGUUUGUUUAUGUUAUGCCAUGCGAAGGUUUUUCUGUUCUAGCCUUAGCUCUGCCCUGAGUCUUAGACAAAGAUCUUUUUCAGUCGUUGUGGUGUGAAUGCAGAACAUAAAGUCAGUUUCUUCAAAACCAGCCCACAUCCCCGCCCAUCACUGCAUGCGUUUAGUGGAAAGGGAGGAGUUUCACAGUGAAGUUGGAGGGAGUUACUGAGAUGUUCUCCAGCUCACUGUUGAAGGGCCUUGUUACUGUUGAGACUGUGAAUGCUGGGUCUAACUUUGGAGAUUAAAUGCGACUCAAACACGUGUCUUUGUGUCCAUUUCCCUCUAGGAGGAGAAACUGCAUGGAGCAGGUGUUACAGAGUGACUGCAGUGUGUGUAGUGCUGCUGUGUGUUCUCCUGCUGACUGCCGUCACGGUGCUGUGGAUCAGAUUCAACAACCUGACUACAGAAAACAACCAGUUACAGACCAGUUACAACAACCUGACUAUAGAGAGAGACCAGUUACAGACCAGUUACAACAACCUGACUACAGAAAACAACCAGUUAAAGAUCAUUCAUAGAGACUAUAGAGAGAGACCAGUUACAGACCAGUUACAACAACCUGACUACAGAAAACAACCAGUUAAAGAUGAUUCAUUGGUGGCCCUGGCCCCCUGGGCUGAAUGUCCCAAGCAGAGCCAGGAAACCGCACGGUGUUCUUGGCGGCGCAGGGAAGCGGAGAAACGUCCCUGGCUGAACAGAGAGGCAGAGUAACGACCACAGCCGGGCAGACAGGCUGAGCGACUUCCUCGGCGGAGCAGGGAAGCAGGGUGUCGUCCUCAUCGUAUCAUGAAAGCGGAGCGACAUCCCCUUGGGCGUGGGCUGAACUUGGGCGACCGGGUCGGUAGACUUGGGCGUGGGCUGAAUUUGGGUGACUGGGUCGGUAGACUUGGGCGUGGGUUGAACUUGGCUUGAGCAGAACGUGGUCGGCCGUUCUGUUAGACUUGGGCGUGAGCAGAACUCAGUCGGCCGUAUCAGUAGACUCAGGCGUGAGCAGAACUUGGUCGGCCAUAUCAGUAGACUUGGGCUUGAGCAGAACUUGGUUGGCCGUAUCAGUAAACUUGGGUGUGAGCAGAACUUGGUUGUUAGGCUUAGAUAUUAGCGGAACUUGGUCAACUGGAUCAGCAGGCUUGGACGUGACAUCAGGAACUUGAGACUUGACUUGGACUUCAGAGACUGGAGACCUGACUUGGACCUCGGGGACUUGAGACUUGCCUUGGACUUGGACCUCAGGGACUUGACACUUGACUUGGAUUUCAGAGACUUGAGACUUGACUUGGACUUCAGAGACUGGAGACUUGACUUGGACUUCAGAGACUAGAGACUUGACUUGGACCUCAGAGACUUGAGACUUGACUUGGAUUUCAGAGACUUGAGACUUGAGUUGGACUUCAGUGACUGGAGACUUGACUUGGACUUGGACCUCAGGGACUUGAGACUUGACUUGGACUUGGACCUCAGGGUUGAGCUCUGGUGCUGGAGCCUCCGUGUUGACCUCUGGCUGGAGCUCGGCAGGUGAGCCCACCUCGUGGGUCUCAGGUUCGAGCUCAGAGGUCACCAGGUUAACCUCCGGCUGGGGCUCUCCAUGAGUUUGCCUGUAGUAGUGGGUAAACGGCAGGGAAGGUUUUAAGUUUAAAAUUUUAAGUUGUCAUGUCCACAAAUUAUUUUCCGGAAUAGUGUUCUGAAAAACUCCCAGAAAACUGCAGAUCUGCUGAAACUCUCAGUUCUUUUAGACUUUUCUUUUAAAUAAAUCAUCAAGGUAUUUUAAUUCAUAUCUUUGCUGCACUGUAACCUUUUUAUAUUCUGUUUUAACCUGUUUUAAUUAGUAAUGUAUUUAUUUUUUCAUUUUAAUUUUAAUUUAUUUAUUUAUUUAUAUUUUUAAUGAACUCUUUUUAAAUGUCUUUUCUUGUAAUUGUUGCUUUGCGUUUCUUUAUAUUUUAUGUAAAGCACUUUGAAUUGCCCGGUUGUUGAAAAUGUGCUAUACAAAUAAAUUUGCCUUGCCUUGCCUUACUGAAAAUCCACAAAGCACGAACGUCUCUGUGCUGAAGACUCUCCCAUGAGGGGAAUCCUACUGUUACAAAGUAAAUAGUAAAUAAAUAUCCUGCCCUCUUUACAUGCCUGUGUGUGUGUGUGUG